GAUGAACGCCGGCGGUGUGCCUAAUACAUGCAAGUCGUACGCACUGGCCCAACUGAUUGAUGGUGCUUGCACCUGAUUGAUGAUGGAUCACCAGUGAGUGGCGGACGGGUGAGUAACACGUAGGUAACCUGCCCCGGAGCGGGGGAUAACAUUUGGAAACAGAUGCUAAUACCGCAUAACAAUAAAAGCCGCAUGGCUUUUAUUUGAAAGAUGGCUUUGGCUAUCACUCUGGGAUGGACCUGCGGUGCAUUAGCUAGUUGGUAAGGUAACGGCUUACCAAGGCGAUGAUGCAUAGCCGAGUUGAGAGACUGAUCGGCCACAUUGGGACUGAGACACGGCCCAA
rnacentral:rRNA from 1 species